AGAGUUUGAUCCUGGCUCAGGACGAACGCUGGCGGCGUGCCUAACACAUGCAAGUCGAGCGGAGACAGUGAGUAGCUUGCUAUGAGCUGUUUUAGCGGCGGACGGGUGAGUAACGCGUGAGCAACCUUUCCCAGACAGGGGAAUAACACACCGAAAGGUGUACCAAUACCGCAUAAGACCACGGGAUCACAUGGUUCUGGGGUAAAAGAUUUAUCGGUUUGGGGUGGGCUCGCGUCCGAUUAGGUAGUUGGUGAGGUAACGGCCCACCAAGCCGACGAUCGGUAGCCGACCUGAGAGGGUGAUCGGCCACAUUGGGACUGAGGCACGGCCCAAACUCCUACGGGAGGCAGCAGUGGGAAUAUUGGGCAAUGGAGGAAACUCUGACCCAGCAACGCCGCGUGGAGGAAGAAGGUUUUCGGAUCGUAAACUCCUGUCCUUGGAGACGAGUAGAAGACGGUAUCCAAGGAGGAAGCCCCGGCUAACUACGUGCCAGCAGCCGCGGUAAUACGUAGGGGGCAAGCGUUGUCCGGAAUAAUUGGGCGUAAAGGGCGCGUAGGCGGCUCGGUAAGUCUGGAGUGAAAGUCCUGCUUUUAAGGUGGGAAUUGCUUUGGAUACUGUCGGGCUUGAGUGCAGGAGAGGUUAGUGGAAUUCCCAGUGUAGCGGUGAAAUGCGUAGAGAUUGGGAGGAACACCAGUGGCGAAGGCGACUAACUGGACUGUAACUGACGCUGAGGCGCGAAAGUGUGGGGAGCAAACAGGAUUAGAUACCCUGGUAGUCCACACUGUAAACGAUGAAUGCUAGGUGUAGGGGGUAUCGACCCCUUCUGUGCCGCAGUCAACACAAUAAGCAUUCCGCCUGGGGAGUACGGCCGCAAGGUUGAAACUCAAAGGAAUUGACGGGGGCCCGCACAAGCAGCGGAGCAUGUGGUUUAAUUCGACCCAACGCGAAGAACCUUACCAGGUCUUGACAUCCACUUAAACUUACAGAGAUGUAAGGUGUGCUCGCACAAAGUGAGACAGGUGGUGCAUGGUUGUCGUCAGCUCGUGUCGUGAGAUGUUGGGUUAAGUCCCGCAACGAGCGCAACCCUUAUCUUCAGUUACUAACGCGUAGAGGUGAGGACUCUGAAGAGACUGCCGGGGACAACUCGGAGGAAGGUGGGGACGACGUCAAAUCAUCAUGCCCCUUAUGACCUGGGCUACACACGUGCUACAAUGGCCACGACAGAGAGAAGCGAAAUCGCUAGGUAGAGCGGAACUCAAAAAAGUGGUCCCAGUUCGGAUUGUGGGCUGCAACCCGCCCACAUGAAGUCGGAGUUGCUAGUAAUCGCGGAUCAGCAUGCCGCGGUGAAUACGUUCCUGGGCCUUGUACACACCGCCCGUCACACCAUGGGAGUUGGGAGUGCCCAAAGCCGGUGAGGCAACCGCAAGGAGCCAGCCGUCUAAGGCAAGACCAAUGACUGGGGUGAAGUCGAAACAAGGUA
rnacentral:rRNA from 1 species